CAAAUAUAUGAUGAUAUGUUCAUAUUAUAUAUAAAAUGUAUAUAUGUACUAUUUUAAUAUUCUACAGAAUAUUAAAAAUUGUUCAAUUAUAUUUUUAACAGUGUUACAGAUUAGUGCAAACAAAAUCGAUAAUUCUUCUGGUGGAAACACUUUACAGAAAUAUUUUUCAUCCUUCAUGUAAAAUUGUCUGAAAAAAUGUUUACCCAAAUAUCUCUUUAGAUAUCCACUGUACUUACACGUAUUUAGAUGCGAAGAAAAGCUUAAUUGUUAUACGAUGAAUAAUCAGUUUGCAGUCGGGCUACUGAUAGAAGCGGCGAAGAAAAAGGACUAUUAACCACAAUGUCCAUACCGGAAAGAUUGAACUUAAAGCGUAAACGACGUAGUGCAGCAGGCCAAAUAUUUUUUUCUGUUUGUAAUAGAGCCUCAAGAAAAGAAUGAAAAGAAUGAAACGGAUAAGUUCUACUUUUCAAGCUGUGGUUCAAUUUCCCAUAUCACUCAUUAUACUAUGAAGUCACGUACGUUAUACAGGUUUUUGAUGAUUUGAUAGCCGUUAAAAUGCCAAAUCACGAAAAGGCGAGCUCGCAUAAUGAUCGUCGUAAUUUGAUUAAUCGUUCUGAUAAUGACGUCGCCUUGGUUGUUGUUUUUCGACUUGGUCUCCAUCUACGACAAC